GGGGGCGCACUGGUUUCGAUCAGCGGUGCUUCCGGACGGGGUUGCGUGCCGAGGACCUCAAGUCACCUCGUAAAUCACCUUGGGACAGGCAUAACCUGCCAAUGAUUACGCUCUCGCUGCCUAAACAAUAGGCGGCCGUCCUCCGCGGAGUGUCUGCGGCUGCGGAAGGACGCCACAGCAGGCUGGUCUCCGAACUCGUGCGACGGGGGGGAGGAGACGAGAACCUACCGUCCGCUGGUCGCGUCCGCCUGUCCGCGGGCCAAGUCGCGACGAGAACCAUCCGCGGAACACGCACGUAGACGCCUCGCUCGGGUGUCGUUGAGACGCGGGUUCAAUUCCCGCCGCCUCCACCA
rnacentral:tmRNA from 1 species